rnacentral:rRNA from 1 species
UACGGAGGGUGCGAGCGUUGUCCGGAAUCACUGGGCGUAAAGGGCGCGUAGGCGGCCCGGCAAGUCAACGGUGAAAGCUUGGGGCUCAACCCCGAGUCGGCCGUCGAUACUUCCGGGCUGGAGCACUGUAGAGGCAGGUGGAAUUCCGGGUGUAGCGGUGGAAUGCGUAGAGAUCCGGAAGAACACCGGUGGCGAAGGCGGCCUGCUGGGCAGUAGCUGACGCUGAGGCGCGAAAGCUAGGGGAGCAAACGGG